AUUGAACGCUGGCGGCAGGCCUAACACAUGCAAGUAGAACGAGUGGCGGACGGGUGAGUAAUGUCUGGGAAACUGCCUGAUGGAGGGGGAUAACUACUGGAAAAGGUAGAUAAUACCGCAUACCAUCGGAUGUGCCCAGAUGGGAUUAGCUAGUAGGUGGGGUAAAGGCUCACCUAGGCGACGAUCCCUAGCUGGUCUGAGAGGAUGACCAGCCAAACGGGAGCUGAUACACGGUCCACACUCCUACGGUGGGCAUCAGUGGGGAAUAUUGCACCAUGGGCGCAAGCCUGAUGCAGCCAUGCCGCGUAUAUGAAUAAGGCCUUCGGUUUGUAAAGUCCUUUCAGCGGGGAGGCGUUACCCGCAGAAGAAGCACCGGCUAACUCCGUGCCAGCAGCCGCGGUAAUAC
rnacentral:rRNA from 1 species